rnacentral:lncRNA from 10 species
CUCGGCCCGGGUCCUAACUUCACCAAGGUGGCUAACAAAUUUUUCCAGCAACACAGAGCUGAGAGGAUUGGGAUCUCAGAGAAGAAGGAGCCCUGCAUUCUUGGCUUCAUCUGCCUGGAGUGGAGUUUCCAUCAUGCUGAGCUGGAGGUGCACGGGGCCAGGGAAUGAGCAAGUCGUAGCUCAAAUGUCCCAGACUCUUACUAUUCUUAUUGAAAUUUAGUAGGUUUUCUUGAAUAAAUGUUUCUUCAUCUGCUGUAUGCCCUUAGGACAAUUCCCAGGAACAUACAUCUAUAUUGAUAUCAAUAUAAAUAUAAAUAGAUAAUUAUGUAUGUAUAACUUUAGCAGUUUUACUUGUUCUGCUGGAAAGAAGGUCUGGAAGGUUUGCAGAGCUGCUCAUGCCACCAUUCCAGAAGUUAUCCACCAGUUCAUUGCUUUUUGCACAGUAGUAUUCCAUUGCAUGUCUAUGCCACAAUUUGUUUAUCCAUUCACCUGUUGAUGGACAUUUGAGCUGUUUCCUGUUUGAGGCUAUUACAAAUAAAGCUGCUUUACAAAUAAAGCUGCUUUGAACAUUUGUGUAUAAGUCUUUGGACAUAUGCUUUGAUUUAUCUUGAGUAAAUAUCUAGAAGUGGAGUGGCUGGGUUAUAUGGUAGGUUUGUGUUUUAAUUUUUAAGAAGCUGCUAAGAUGUCUUCCAAAGUGAUUCCCCCAUUAUGCACUCCUGCCAGCAGUGUGUGAGAGUUCCAGUUUCUCCAGAUUCUCACCAACACCUGGUAUGGUCAGUCUUUUUAAUGUUAGCCAUUCUAAUAGAUGUGUAGUGGUAUCUCAUUGUGGUUUUAAUUUUCAUUUUCCUAAUAGGUAAUGAUGUGUUUGAGCAUUUUUUCAUGUGCCUAUUUACUAUCCAUACACCUACUUGGUGAAAUAUCUGUUCAAAUCUUUUGCCUCCUUUCUUUUUUCAUAAUUGGGUGGUUUGUUUUCUUAUUAUUGAGUUUUGAGAGUUCUUUCUAUAUUGCAGAUACAAAUUUUUCUUGGAUAUGUGUACUGCAAUAGUUUCUCCCAGUUAGUAGCAUGUCUUUUCAUUCUCCUAACGGUUUCUUUCAAAAGGCAAAUGUUCUUAAUUUUGAUGAAGUCCAAUUUACAAAUAU